rnacentral:piRNA from 1 species
AGAAAAGUGAUGCCCCUGGAAGGACAGCCU